CGGACCGAAUCGGGGACUCCGGUGGCGUGGGCGCGGGCCGAACCGGGACCGGGCCGAGUUGGGUGGCAAAGUAGGACGUGGAUUCGGGGGCGGGGCGCGGCGGGAGGGGGAAACCAGGCCUGGCCGGACUGGCCUGGGCGUGGGGGCGGGGGGCGAGUUCGGGGCACUUGCUGGGCUCUGGACCGAGCGGUAGGGCGGGGCGGCGCUAGGGGCUGGGCCGGACCCGCAGGGAGAGGGCGAGGGGAGGGAGAGCGGGGGGUGGAGUAGGGGCGUGGAGUUGUGAGCGGGGUCUGGCUCGACCAGGGGCGAAGGUAGAUCGGCGGGGCCGCGAGCGGAGGGAGGGAGGCCCGCGGCAGCGCGGCGGCAGCGAAGGCCAGCUUCCGCGGAGUUUGUGCCCGGGCUUCCCGGGCUCCGGCCGCCUCACGCGCACAAAUGGGGCUAGGGGACAGAGUGGGUCGGCUUGGCGAAGGACGGCUAGCCUCGGAGGGAAAGUAGACACCAGUUCAACUCAGGUCGCCCCCACCAUUACUUCGGUGAGGGGGCAACGCUAAGAAGGGGAUACUGGUGG
rnacentral:lncRNA from 1 species